rnacentral:rRNA from 1 species
AACGAACGCUGGCGGCAUGCCUAACACAUGCAAGUCGAACGAGACCUUCGGGUCUAGUGGCGCACGGGUGCGUAACGCGUGGGAACCUGCCCUUAGGUUCGGAAUAACUCCCAGAAAGGGGUGCUAAUACCGGAUAAUGUCUUCGGCCCAAAGAUUUAUCGCCUUUGGAUGGGCCCGCGUUGGAUUAGCUAGUUGGUAGGGUAAAAGCCUACCAAGGCGACGAUCCAUAGCUGGUCUGAGAGGAUGAUCAGCCACACUGGGACUGAGACACGGCCCAGACUCCUACGGGAGGCAGCAGUGGGGAAUAUUGGACAAUGGGCGAAAGCCUGAUCCAGCAAUGCCGCGUGAGUUAUGAAGGCAUUAGGGUUGUAAAGCGCUUGUACCCGGGAUGAUAAUGACAGUACCGGGAGAAUAAGCUCCGGCUAACUCCGUG